GUGCUCCCAUAGCACACAUGCUAAAAUUGGAACAAUACAGAGAUUAGCAUGGCCCCUACACAAGGAUGACAUGCAAAUUGUGAGGCAUUCGAUAUUUUG
rnacentral:snRNA from 1 species